UCCGAGUUGACAUACACCAGAAGCCUGCAGAGAUGUGGGUCUCUUUGGACACUGGUGUACAGGUGGUGCAUGGCUGUCGUCAGCUCGUGUCGUGAGAUGUUGGGUUAAGUCCCGCAACGAGCGCAACCCUCGUUCCAUGUUGCCAGCACUUCGGGUGGGGACUCAUGGGAGACUGCCGGGGUCAACUCGGAGGAAGGUGGGGAUGACGUUCC
rnacentral:misc_RNA from 1 species